AAGAAUCCAGAACCUUACUUAGGGGACAUCCUAAAGAUGAACACUUCUCCCAGCUUAGUGACUCUGAUUGUUUUAAUAAUUGGAAGGAUAUGUGGACAAUCAGUGACCCAGAUGGAAGGCCCAGUGUCUAUCGCAGAAGGGGCCCUUCUGACCAUCAACUGCUCCUAUACAGCCUCAGGCUACACUGUACUUUUCUGGUAUGUCCAGUACCCUGGAGAAGGUCCACAGUUUCUUCUAAAAGCUGUGAAAGCCAAUGAGAAGGAAAGAAGCAAAGGGUUUGAAGCCACAAAUGAUAGAGCAACCAGCUCCUUCCAUUUGGAGAAAGCCUUCGUGCAAGUGUCAGACUUGGGGGUGUACUACUGUGCUGUGAGUGACACAGUGGCAGGAACUGCAGGGGGAGCUGGGCACAAACUCUGA